CUCUAGAUUAAAGUUUUUGAUCAUGGCUCAGANUCAACGCUGGCGGCGUGCCUAACACAUGCAAGUCGAACGCGAAAGUGGAGCAAUCCAUGAGUAGAGUGGGCAAACGGGUGAGUAACGCGUGGGUGACCUGCCUUCGAGCGGGGGAUAACGUUCCGAAAGGGACGCCUAAUACCGCAUGACAUUCUGCUUUUGAAGAGGCGGAAAUCAAAGCUGGGGAUCGCAAGACCUAGCACUCGAAGAGGGGCCCGCGUCCGAUUAGCUAGUUGGUGAGGUAACGGCUCACCAAGGCAACGAUCGGUAGCCGGCCUGAGAGGGCGGACGGCCACACUGGGACUGAGACACGGCCCAGACUCCUACGGGAGGCAGCAGUGGGGAAUUGUUCGCAAUGGGCGCAAGCCUGACGACGCAACGCCGCGUGGAGGAUGAAGAUCUUCGGGUCGUAAACUCCUUUCGAUCGGGACGNAUGCCUUUGCCGUGAAUAACGGUGGAGGGUGACGGUACCGAGAGAAGAAGC
rnacentral:rRNA from 1 species